CACGUAGGGCGCAAGCGUUGUCCGGAAUUAUUGGGCGUAAAGAGCUCGUAGGCGGUCUGUUACGUCUGCUGUGAAAACCCGGGGCUUAACCCUGGGCUUGCAGUGGAUACGGGUAGACUAGAGGCAGGUAGGGGAGAAUGGAAUUCCCGGUGUAGCGGUGAAAUGCGCAGAUAUCAGGAGGAACACCGAUGGCGAAGGCAGGUCUCUGGGCCACUACUGACGCUGAGGCGCGAAAGCCAGGGGAGCAAACGGG
rnacentral:rRNA from 1 species